CCAGGGCUGCAGUAUUCAGAGGUGGGGCUUUGGGAAGUGUUAGGAUCAAGAGGGUUCAGAGCUCAUCAAUGAAGCCAUCCACUGAGAGUGGAUUUUUUAGUUUGAUGGGUUUGGGACAAGAUGGAAACUUAUGAGGUGGGGUCUAGCUGAAAAGAGGUCCUUGGCGGUGUGCCCUUUGGGGGACAGUAUCUCAUUCUUGACCUUGUUACUUUCUGACCACCGUGAGGUCAAACGGACCCACUUGAGGUUAACUUCUUUGGAGUUCCUUCCUAUGUGGAUUUCAGAGAGCCUGGAAGGCUGAGCCUCAUUAUGAUGCAACAACCAACCAUGGAUUCCGGUUGUGGCCAUUAGGGGGCAGCAUUUUGGGUUCUGUUCAUUUCCAGAGGCCGUCCUCAUCGGGCUACAGUGAUGUCACCUGAGGGACAGAAUGCACACCUGUCUGAGCUAUGCAGUUCGUGAACCCAAAGCCAGGCCUUUGUUUCAACUGAGCCCAAGAAUAAGAGGCUGAGUCCGUGGAUGGCCUCACUGGGAAGGCUGGUCACCUGAUAUGGCAAGGUGGGGUGAACACCAGAGGACUGUAUCUGUUGUACUUCAUCGCCAUCCCAUGCAACUUUCAUUACCUGGCCGAGUGUCAGAGACAAGAAGAAAUGACAGCACCCCCUGAGAGUCCAAAAGGUCUUGAGUUUACCUUGAUCCUUGCAUCAGGAUCAGAGCCCAGUGUCAUCUCUUACGUAGGAAGCUAGCCCUGUGGGUGUGGACCCAGGACACUCCCAGGCUCUCUAAUUCACCUCUGUCUACAUUUGAAAAAAUAUUUUAGAAAGGAACUUCUUCA